GGAGCUGGCUCCAGCCACCCUGCAAGGGACACGCUCUUCCCUUGAAACCAACCUUGAAAGGCCCUGCUGGUUCCUGGAAUUCUGUGCCUGGGAGACAGCCUAUUCAUGGAGAGAAGUAGCUGCGUCCUCUGAGUUUAUGCUCUAAAAAAGGAAAUGACAGUCUGUGGGCCUGGCUUCUCAACAGCUGAACGACAGGUUGGGCUUGAUGGUGUCCAAGUAUGGUGACAGGCCUGAAUGCCGAUUUACUCCUGAUUCUGCCAUUAGCCUGCAGAGUGACCCUGGGCAAACCCUGCACUCGAUGGUUCAGCUGACACCACCCAGACUGGUAAUCUGGCUCAACCAGUUCUGCCAUCCCACCCAGGAACAGAAAACAGCAAGAAAAACUCACUUCAACCCCCUAGGAUUCCAUCUCCAAUCUCACCAACCAGCACUCCCCACUUCCGAAGCCCCUACCUGCCAAAUUAUCUUUAAAAACUCUGAUGGCCGGAAUGCUCAGGGAGACUGAUUUGAGUAAUAAUAAAACUCCGGUCUCCCGCACAGCCGGCUCUGCAUGAAUUACUCUUUCUCCACUGCAAUUCCCCUGUCUUAAUAAAUCGGCUGUGUCUAUGCAGCGGGCAAGGUGAAUCCACUGGACGGUUGCAAAAUGACUUGCCUGAGGUCUCACCGCUUGGUCAGAGUCCGGCGCUAUUGGGCGGCUGGCGGAUGCCACGGGGUUGUUGAUGAAGGGCCUUUAUUUGUUCUUGGAAUCCUACCCUGUUUCCCAGGCUGCGGGAGGGAUAGCUGCAACAUGGUAGAAUUGAAAACAGCACAGCCCUUGGGUCAGUUUCAUAACUUGUGAAGACUAAGUCAGGGUUCUGUUUGUUCAGCAACACAGCAAGAAUCCCAACUUUGUCACGGAAGGAUGGGAAAAAAUACAAAAAGCCUAUGAGCGCCACCUAGUGAUACGUUCCGCCAUCACAUGUCUAAUUGAGGAGUUUAGCAAUGGAGGACAUUGUGCUUCCCAGGCAGGCCCCGUGAGCCACAGGGAAAAAAUACACGGCUGCGUCCUCAGGGCCAGGGGCUCAGCCCGCCAGGCUGUUCUCAGUCGCCCACCUGCAGCUCAGAAGGCUCACAAACGAUCAUUCAUGGCCCGGGGCCGAGGCACCUGGCACUGUCAGGCGCUGUCAGGCGCUGUCAGGCACGAUGUGGUCAAGCUGCCUACCUGGUGGUUCCUGCCAUGCGCUUCCUUCUCCCUCCCUCUUUCAGGGUCCAGAACUUCAGCUUUCACUCAUUCCGCAGCCACUGUGCCAGGCUCUGUGCUGAGCACUGGCCGUCUGGCCAUCUGCCAAGCCUGAUCCCAGGGGCAGCCAUGUCCUGUGCUCCUGCGAGGGCCACAUCCCCCUCCCUACUUCAGCCCCCUCCUCCCAGUUCCACGUGCCUAGCUAUGGCAUUCACUUCCACCCCGGGGGAUCCUCCUCGUCCUACACCCGGCCCCACCAUUACCAAGCCUAAAUAACUUGUGCAUCCCUCCCUUUCUCUCCCUCUUGCUCAUUGUCGUAGUUCAAGCCACUAAUAUGUCUGCCCUGGACAGCUUCAAAGCCCCCCCACUCACAGGCCUGCACCAGCUCUCCACACCGUGAUCAGAGUCAACCUUUUGGAAGGGAAAUAUGAGCAAUGGAAAUUUCCUUGUUGAAACACUCCAGGGCAAGUUUCCUACUCCAGGACAUGACUAAAAGGGAGGAAAAUAGGGAAAAUGUACAAAAUGGAUAUAUAAAGGGAAUAUAAGAACUAAUAUAUAUGGCCGGGAGUGGUGGCUCAUGCCUGUAAUUCCAGCACUUUGGGAGGCCCAGGCAGGCGGAUCACGAGGUCAGGAGUUCAAGACCAGCCUGGACAACAUAGGGAAACCCCGUCUCUACUAAAAAUACAAAAAAUUAGCUGGGCGUGGUGGUGGGCACCUGUAAUCCCAGCUACUCUGGAGGUUGAGGCAGGAGAAUCGCUUGAACCUGGAAGGCAGAGGUUGCAGUGAGCCGAGAUCAUGCCACUGCACUCCAGCCCAGGUGACAGUGCGAGACUGUAUCU